ACACCCUCAAGCUCUGCUUGGUAUUGGAGGCCGCCCUGGGGCGCCCCCGAAACACAGCGGCGACGUAGCCGGACUCCCUGGCGUAGUGACACUUGCUGUCGCCCCGGAGUGGUCGGUCGUGCGUCAGCCGGACAACGCCCAAUUUUCUGAA
rnacentral:misc_RNA from 1 species